ACUGUGUUAGUUGUAUUAAGCAGUGCUUACAAAUUCUCCCAAAACUACAAUUUGUUUCAGAACCUUCAAUACUUGUCUGUAUUUAUAAUAUGGUAUCACAUCAACAAAGAAUGAUAAAGGAAAAUACACGCAUUAUAAAUACAUACAUAAAAUAAAAGAAUCACCGACUCACUUCCAUGAAAUUCAUUUGAAAAACCCAAAAGAAUUAAUACUAGCAAGUAAUAAAUGGGUGGAAAUAAUAAUUAAAAUCUAGUGGUUGAGGAGAGCAACCAUGGACACCAAAAACGGGAGGCAGAGGAUCAUAGCCCCUGAGGCCGCCACGGAGUGAGCUGCUCCUUUGUCUUGAGCCGGCGCGGGAGCGGGCGCAACAUCAAAAUCUUGGGCCGAAGACACGGCCGCAAAGAAAGCCACCACGGCAAAGGCAAAGACCAAGACCUUCAUCUUCAUCACACUGCUGCUCAAAUGUGCCAUUGCAAAUCAAAGAUUUAAUUUGAAUGAAGAAAAGAAAAGCUUUUAGUUUUAGUUAGAGAGAACAAAUAAAGAAGAGAGUUGGGCUGAUUGCUUGCUUCCCCAAAUAUAUAGUGAUAUUUGGGGAAGGGAGUGGGG
rnacentral:lncRNA from 1 species